UACAGAGGGGGCAAGCGUUAUUCGGAAUUAUUGGGCGUGAAGGGCGCGUAGGCGGCUUGGCAAGUGGAAGGUGAAAUCCCUCGGCUUAACCGAGGAACUGCCCUCCAAACUGCUUCGCUUGAGACCGGGAGAGGUGAGUGGAAUUCCCAGUGUAGCGGUGAAAUGCGUAGAUAUUGGGAGGAACACCAGUGGCGAAGGCGGCUCACUGGACCGGUAUUGACGCUGAUGCGCGAAAGCGUGGGGAGCAAACGGG
rnacentral:rRNA from 1 species